rnacentral:rRNA from 1 species
UGGCUUAGAGUUUGAUCCUGGCUCAGGACGAACGCUGGCGGCGUGCUUAACACAUGCAAGUCGAACGGAAAGGCCCUUUCGGGGGUACUCGAGUGGCGAACGGGUGAGUAACACGUGGGUGAUCUGCCCUGCACUUUGGGAUAAGCCUGGGAAACUGGGUCUAAUACCGAAUACACCUUGCUGGUCGCAUGGCCUGGUGGGGGAAAGCUUUUGCGGUGUGGGAUGGGCCCGCGGCCUAUCAGCUUGUUGGUGGGGUGAUGGCCUACCAAGGCGACGACGGGUAGCCGGCCUGAGAGGGUGUCCGGCCACACUGGGACUGAGAUACGGCCCAGACUCCUACGGGAGGCAGCAGUGGGGAAUAUUGCACAAUGGGCGCAAGCCUGAUGCAGCGACGCCGCGUGAGGGAUGACGGCCUUCGGGUUGUAAACCU